CGAUGCAAGAACGGUCCAUUUACGAUUGAGUAGGCGCAAUAGUGGGAGCGGAUCCGAACUCCCUCUUCGGGCACUGCCCCGGAUGAGUUGGGUGGAGUAGCCAGAUCACGCGGCGCCGGGAGCAGGGCAGCGCUCGCGGCAGUUCGGCGCCGGGUGCUUCGGGGGCAUGAGCUCGCUUUCCAUCGGGCGGCCGACGUGACCCGAGUUACGAGGGCUUGUGAGCCGCGGGCGAAGAACCACUGCGAGGUGGUCCGGGUGCAGUAUGAUCCCCGCAACUGCAAGUACCAAGGAGCUCUUUGAUGUUUUCCGUGCGCGCUAUAAUCCUAUUAUCGUCAAUCGCCAGGUUUUUGCAGGUUAUUCGUGCGUGAUCAUUGAGUCAAUUUUCUUAGGGUCCAAUAACCAUUGUACAAAAGGAAAACAAAGUUGUUACGAUCUUGAAUACACUUCUACACGUGAGAACAGGGAAAAGCCCCUAUGAAAUAUUUAGAAAGUAACCAGAAGGUCAUGAACUGGAAUAUCAUGAAAGUACUUCUCAGGUGCUCCUGAGAUUUCCUCAAAGUUUAUGCUGUCAUGAAGACAUCAUUACGAGUAAGCAUGCCUUUGUUUACUGGUAACUUUUAACGCAUGGGCCUUGCUUUUCUUUCAGCAUCUUCAUGGCAUCUAGCUACCUAUUAGCCUUUCAUAUAUGUCAUCUUGUAAAAUAUAGUAACCAAAGAUUAUUCUUAGAUGAGCUAGCAUUGAAAUGAUAUUCUGGGUUCUGUUUGGCUAUGAUGGUGUAUUGUGCUAAAGCAUUUGACUUCAGACUAGCUAUAUGGAAUUGUGUUUGGAGAAAAUUCUGGUAGUUGCUCGGCAGUCAAAUUUAGCAAAUAAUGAAAAGAAAGAAAAUAAAUGGUUUGCAUGUCACAUGGUCUAAUAAUUUGAAGCUAAAUGGGACUCGGUAGAUUGCAACAUUGAAACCUAUGUAGUUAUGGUCUUGGGUCAAAUGAAUGACAUCUUUCUUUUAGUCUGCUGCUUAAGUUAUUUCACCAAUGGAGUUACAUCACUAUCAUGCUCACCAAAGCCUGUUUAAAUCUGGACCACUGCAACAACAAAUUGAAAUAUUUAUAGUAUUUGGGAUUGACUAGAUGAAUCUUCCAGCUAGUGAGUUCUACAUAGAUGAGUAUCUUACAGGCAAAUCAAAAGCUUUGAAGUUUCUUUUUCUUAUGUGUUCAUAGUUUGGAUUCAGACCUGCAUAAAAGCAUCAAAUUUGACAGUAUUCUCAGGAAGAACAAAUUGUGGAGGUCUUCCUACCCCACAAUCUCAUGCAUGCCAACCAAGAAAGUUGGUAGCCAAUGAUUACCCACCUACCAGUGAAUUCCAUGAUUGGCCUAAGGUGAAGCUUUGCUUUCAAUCUCUGCUGUUGGGUUAGCUUUUUGGCUGGGGAGCGUUAGUGUGGUCCAUAAAAGAGGAGUGAGCUCCCGCAGCCAGAGUGCAUGACGGGGACGGAUGUCGACGUCCUUCGCAACCAACCAGUGGCCACAGGCGCUCCGGCAGCCACGAACUGCCCCUCUCAUAACCGCUCUCGCAGGCGCUACGCCGCGUUGGGGGACGCUGCCUCUGGUGAGGGCAACUGCUGGCCAAGCAGCGAAGGCCCGCGCGGGGACUGCUGCCAGCCGGGCGAGGAUGGUUCUGUGUUGCUGCCAACGGUUGCUCUCCGUGGCGUCGUUAAUGGGGAUGGAACAGAGGGGAAGAAGAAUAAGAAUAAGCAGGUGGAAGGAAGACGAGUGAGGACGAGAAAAAAAAAUGUGAGAAGGUGAGAAAGGAAAAUGGAUCCAUUAAUUGGUUUCGGUCAUUUGGAUAAUUAUAUAAAAUAUAGGCUAUUUAUCGAAAAAAUAAGUACGUUUCGUGUUUUUUAGGUUAUUUAAAUAUCAAAAGAUACC